CCUUUGGAAAAAAAGGAAAACAUGUUUUGUUGUCUCUCCCCCCACUCCCCCACCGUGCAAUGGAAAAAAGCAAAGAACCAAGGGAAAAGUCACCCCACGCUUUCCUCGGAGCAGUGGGUUCUCGGCACUGCGGCACCAUAAGGAAGUGGAAGGCUGAGUGAGCAAACAUGUUUUCCCUCAGCAGCAUGCCUGUCGGAACAGUGGGAAUCAAUUACUGGGAAACAAAAAUAAAACGCAAGCUUCUUGCUGGGAGCAGGAAAACAGAGGCUGGAGUUGGGGUCAAUGUGGAUGAGUGGGCAAGUAUGCAAGGCAGGAGGAAGGAGGCAGGAAUUGGGGCUUGGGGCGAUGCUGGGAGAGACAGGUAACUUCUAGAGCAAUGAUUCUCAACCUUCCUAAUGCGACCCUUUAAUACAGGUCCUCAUGUUGUGUGACUCCCAACCAUAAAAUCAUUUCAUCCCUACUUCACAACUGUAAUUUUGCUACUGUUAUGAAUCGUAAUGUAAAUAUCUGAUAUGCAGGAUCUCUGCUGUGCAACCUGGGGAUGGGUGGGUCACGACCCACACAGGUUGAGAACUGCAGUUCUAGAGCCUGAGUUUACCUGAUUGCAAAUUCCCCUGUAUACCUCACAGAGUCAGGGACAAACUAUUUUGUUCACCAUGUCUAUCCACCCAUACCUGUGCACAUGCCCACACAAACAUGCUUGUGUACACACACCCACACACCAGCAAGUUAGAAAGAGCAGCACAUGGCUAAGACUUUUCUACCUGCUAAAGGUCGGAUUCGAACUCAUCACCUGCUAAGCUCUGUUCCUACGGCAGUAUCUAAUGCUUACUGAGUUACUAAGAGCCGGGAACUAGGCUGAGGCUGUGAGGCCACUAGCUUUCCUUCUUCUUAGCACAUGUGCAGUAGGUCUAGAAAUGCCUCUACAGAUGAGAGGGUCCCCCAAAGGGAAAGACCGACCUGGUACUCUGGCUGGUGUGUGAUGGGGCUGUGGCUCAGAGUCCAGUGCCCCAAGCUGUCCCAGCAGUCUGAAGUUCACACUGUGUGAAUUUUCAGUGGGUUUCUGAACACAGAUCCUGGUGGGGGUCUGUGAAGAAAGGACCCUCCCCACACUCCUCAGCCAGAGUUUCUACAGACACAGGGUGAUGACUGGACCAGUGCCUUAAUGAUGUCUCCAGACGGGACCCAGUUCAUUUCUCUAAGUGUGUGUUGUGUGGGAGGGGAGCGUGGCAAUUAAUGACCCCCCUGACAGGGGUUACAUCUGCCUCUGCGUCCUCUGUGCAUAUGCACACGGUUGCACACACACAGGCUUGUUAAGCUAAUGAAGAAGGUUUCUCUAGAGCUGUUCCCCUCUGCAUUGGCCCUGUGUACAUAAAUCUGAGCUGGCCACUGGCUCAUCCGAGCGCUCCUUUUGAGCCACCACCUUCCUGGCUCACUGGGGAAGGUGACAUUGCCACUUCCCUCCUGCAAACCCAGCCUUCGAGGAAAGAGUUGACCCUGUGAAGACUUAAGUGCCCUGUCCCUCGGUGGAUUCUUGGCUGGUGGCCACAACACAUUGUUAGGCAUCCCUCUGCCUCAGCUCUCUGCAGAGCAUGCAGGGUGUGCCUAGAUCCUACCACUAGGCACAACUAUGCACUUAGCCAGUUAUUGGCCAUUGGGUUUUAAUCUGGUGGCCCGUUGAAAUUUCAGGGGUACCCCUUAGAUCCCUGCCUUUAGUGAACCCCAUUGCUUCCCAGAAUGAAGACUCUCAUCUCAACCCAGAGACUCCUCCUGCCUGGCGUAGCCUUGGAGUUUGUAGUUUAACCUGCCCGGUGUUAUAUAUGACAAAACUUUCCCUGGGAGAUGCAACACACGUCUACUCAUCCCAGAUAGGGAACCCAUACCAGACAAAGUAUGCAUGUAUACCACCAAAGUCCAGGUGGGUGAACCAGUGCCUUUUGUUUACAGGAGUAUGGGUGAGGGGUGACUUACAGGACUCAGAGAAGCUGUGUCACCAAAGCCCACCCCAGCACAGGUGACAGCUCACGAAAGCUGAACCGCCUGCAGGAAGCUCAACAGGUUGGAGAGAAUCCCUUGCACGUGCCUCAGUUGGUCUACACCUCUUCCAGGCAGCUGAGCUGGUUUCUGCUUCUUCCAGGCAGCUCGUCUCAUCUCAAGAGUCACCUUUGAAGCUUUGCUUGUCUGAGAGUCUUCUUUGCAGCUUGGCUCAGAAGUGUGGAUUCCUACAUCACCCUGAGGGAGGGGACUCUGGCAGCGACCUUGUCAACGCUCAUAAAGCAAAUCAACCCGUUCCUUUCUGUCUGUACACCCCUGCUGGCUUGGUGGGUGGGAGAGGACAAAGAGCCAACAUGUCGUGAACCUGAACCACGAAAUCAUGAGCCCAGUCACCAUCCUCUUUCUGAGUCGAUUACCAGAGUGGUGGAAAACUGACCUACUCAGAAAUCCAUGGCUCUGCCUUCCAGAGCACAGUGUUGAGGUUUUGCCCUCCCUCGAGAGUAUAGCCUACAGCGAAAGGUCAGCAGCCCCUUCAGCAGAUAGAAGUCUGAGGCCAGAUGUGCGGCUUUCCUUUUAUCCAGCUUUACCAGGUGCCACCAUGGACACUUCUGCAUGCUAGGCUCUGGCCUUGGGCUGCAGAGACAGCAGCAACAGAGCUUCAACCCUGUCUGCUAGCGCUGGCAUUCUGUUGGGGACACCGGCCACAGCCUGGUCUUGCUGUACCCCUACCCGAAGUCUCAUUCUCAUAGGUCCAGCUGCUCUGAGUCAAGCGCAGUCCAAAACCGUGAAGUGGAAAAUUCCAGGCAUGAGCAGUUCCUAAGUAUAAUUAAUUAAUUAACUAAUAAAAAAAAUGUAUUGUGGUUCAUUGUCAUUGUUCUGUUAAAUAAAAUUA